GGCCUCUGUGCUGGCGAC
rnacentral:siRNA from 1 species